CUAAGUCAAGCACGGACAUUUCAUUCAAUUUCCUUUUCUGAGGUCAGGAAUCUGAGGUGAAUGGAGUUAUGAGUGAGAGUUUCCAAAAGGAGCUAUUGACAGAAAAAGAUAUUUCAGAAGUACUCAUAGAGGUCUCCUGAUUUUUUUAUUGAAUAAUAAACCACUCCAUGGUGAAAUUCUGAGAGACUGGGCAAAGAUAUAGCUGAGAAGUGAAAAACAACCAAUUCAAGAGUUUUUGCAGAGCUGGGAGAUAUUCAAACUCCGGCUCAUGAAAGCAGAGAUUCACCACUGGACAUUGAAAACAUUCUGCAGAUGGAAGACAGCUCAGCAUAAAAAGGCUCAACUAGGACAAUGCAUGUUCCCAGCAAGGGAGUAUGUGGCUCUCCUAUAAACUACACCCGCAAUAUGGGGAAGAAUCAGCAACUGAAAAGAAAUUGUCCUGUUGACCACAGAUGAAGCCAUCCAAGUGGUUCUUCCUUAUAAGAGGUUCGAGUUGAAUCUCCACGCUCAAACCGGGGCUCUGGAAUCUUCCUUGACUGUUGCUCAUUUGCAUCCCUUCAACCAACAAAACAACAAGCCUGUAGCCACCGUCACAGUAUCAGUACGAGACUGUCAUCUGCUGCUGAGGUUUCCGAGGCCGCAGGGCAGAUGGCCCCCCACGCCGCUGCACUGACCCCACCUCCAGGACAGAAGCAAUGCUCCCACUCAUAGUCACUGCUUUUUGCAGUGUAUUCUAGAUGUCCUUCCCACUUAGCUUCUACCUCUUCUGGCCCUGGCGGUUUGCCUGGUGCCAUAACCAAGUCCGCAUGCUGGUGCACCCUGGUUUCCUGGCCACUGUGCA